CGCUGUUUGUUGGCACUGUGUUCCACACAGCUGGCAGCUCCCGCCAAGCAAAACAGGUCAAAAGGGGGAAGCCUACAUUUCACAAAGGGUUGAGGACCAACUCGAACAUGCCCGAAGACUUCACCUUCGGCCAACUUCGUGAGUUUGUUUUUAUUUUCAUAACAGCACGACCAUGUUGGUGGAUAUCAAAAACACUUAUUAAUAAUAAUUGUGAGGUUAAGUGUUUAAUUCAUAGAAAGAAAGUGCAUAUUUAGUAAUAAUCUUAAGAUUAUUAUUCACUGUUAUAUUACAAGUAUUCGUUAUGUUCAGGAUCUUUCAACGCACUAAAUUAAAACAGCAAGCAUCAUGUACCUCGGGAUCAAGUGAAAAACUUGGAUAUGAGAUACUGAACUUUAACUAACUUUCAGAUUUGCGUGUAAAUUAAGAGAUAUGUAUCAUCUUUAGUUCAUAUUUUCUCUCUACAGGUUUUAAAGUUUAGCCUAGGUUGACGUAAUUUUUUUUGUAUCACGUGUCCAAAUUGAUCCCUUGGUUUUGUGGUACAAGAUGCUUGCUGUUUUAAUUUGUUACGUCGAAAGAGUAUGGACAUAAAAAAUACUAGAACAUCACAAGACAAACAAAUUAUCUCAGGUGUUGUGAAAUAAUUUCUUUUGUAACUGUUUUACAUUCAUAUAUAAAUUGUAAUAACACAAGUUAGUAUGCCCAUGUUCUUUCAAUGUACCAAAUCAAAACAUCAAGCAAAAUGUACCACAGGAACAAUGUAUACAAGAUCAUGCCUUCUGGAUCAAGGGAUGAAUUUGAAUAUGUUAUACGGAACUUUUACCAAUUUCACUUUCGGGACAAGUAUGUAAGGAAAUUAGAAAAUGAGCUGAAACAUUAAACUCUUUGGACACUCCAUAGAAAGGAAGAAUUAUUUUCUGUUUAAUGCUGGCAUGUGAAGACAUUAGAACAUUUUCUUGUAGAUUAAAUUCUUUGGACAUUCAAUGAAAAUGAAUUAUUUUGUGAAUUUUUGUUAUAAUAGUGCUUUUUUUAUUUCACUUAGAAUUUUAUUUCAUUGCCGGUUAAUUGAUAGUAACUAAGAAAGUGAAAUAAUUUUUUUUUUUUUGGAGAAAUAAAGAGUAUUUUUUACAACCUUAUAUUUCAUGAUUGUCUAUCUUCAAAACUUACCAAACUUGGGUGAUUCAUAUGGAAAAAAUAAUUCUGUCAUUUAAAGGAAAGAAAAGUGUAAAGAUUUUUGCUGAACGUUCAUAAUAAAUAAUUUUACCUUUUGACAUGUCAGUUAUCUUUAAAACACAUUGUAGUUAUUAGUAUGUACAAGAAAGAAAGUGCAAGAUUUUAUGCCUUUAAAAUAUUAGUGUUUAAAUAUUCAAUGUGUCUUCGUUUUUUUCAUUCCACAGCACAUAAAUGAAUUUUUUUUAUAAAGUGAACAUAUAAAUUUAAAUGUAACAUGUAACCUUUUAUGUGGUAUCGCUUUCAAGAUACAUUCACCCACUGUGUUGGUACAUAUCAAGUAAACCAACGAACAAUUAGGAAAGCUACAAUGAUAGGGUUUUUUAUACAGGAAUGUUACGGAUAAAAUAAUACAAUGGAAAGAGAUUACUGUGGACACAAAAAAAAUUUAAUAUUUAUGUUUGUUUUUUUCAUAAAAAAAAUAUUCUUUAGUGACAAUCUAGGCUGCAAAUGUCUCAUACAUUACUGAAUUUCUAUACGGAGCAUUACCAACACAGAGCUUACACAGUAAUAUUUCCUCUUUACAUUAUACCAUCAGGUGACACUACAAAGUCUCAUAACAUGCUAUUGUUUUAAACAACCUCAGUAUGUACCUUUAUGGACAAUUACUUUUAUGGUGAGAAACAUAAUGUAGUAAUUUGUGCAUAAAAUAAUUGUUUAUAUAAUUUACUUAAUAGUCAUGCAGUAUAGCUGCACAGUAUGAACCUCACAAAUAUAAUGAAACCAGUUUUUAGUGAAUGACCACAAUAUUAAUUCUCAGCAUUUUCACACACAUGUCUUGAAAUAUUGUGGUAAAUGUUUUAUAGACUUUCUCACCUCUAAAUCUUUUUUCUCUCGUUACCCACACAUCCCUGGGUCAUCUUUGCGGAGCCGGGCUUAUCCCAACCGCCUUAGAUUUAACCCUGCCACGUGACCACGCCGCAGGGUCGACAAUUAUGGAACUCGCUGACUCCAGAGGUAAGCGUUUUAAUUUAAUGUAGCCGUGCAUAUGUCUGCUGGCCCAAACAAAGACAUUAAAGCACUUGUAGAUUCACGGCUCGUAGAGCCUGUUCGAGUCGUAAUUCAAAAACUUACGGGUAUGGCCGACUCCAUGCAAAUCCCCAAUAAGACUGCUGUUAGAUGUAACGUAAGCAUAUAAUGAAGCAAUCAGAAACUUUUGUCAGGGUAAAGCAUAAGGUAUAACGCAUAGUGUAACACCGCAAUGCAUAGCAUGCCAAUAAAUGCGAGAACAAAUUGACAGUGAUUUCCAGUGCCCCCUUACCUAAGUUAGGCAUCAACCAAACCAUGCUGCCUGAGGAGUGUGAUACUACUUCUCUAGUUAGUAAUUCAACCACUGCCACGAUCCUAAUGAACAAAGCUGGGGCCGACGACCCACCAAACAGCUGCAUAAGUUAGCCUGGCACCCUCCCGGAAAGAAAAUAAAA